GGUUAAGCGACUAAGCGUACACGGUGGAUGCCCUGGCAGUCAGAGGCGAUGAAGGACGUGCUAAUCUGCGAUAAGCGUCGGUAAGGUGAUAUGAACCGUUAUAACCGGCGAUUUCCGAAUGGGGAAACCCAGUGUGUUUCGACACACUAUCAUUAACUGAAUCCAUAGGUUAAUGAGGCGAACCGGGGGAACUGAAACAUCUAAGUAC
rnacentral:rRNA from 1 species